rnacentral:rRNA from 1 species
AUUGAACGCUGGCGGCAUGCCUUACACAUGCAAGUCGAACGGUAACAGGUCUUCGGAUGCUGACGAGUGGCGAACGGGUGAGUAAUACAUCGGAACGUGCCUAGUAGUGGGGGAUAACUACUCGAAAGAGUGGCUAAUACCGCAUGAGAUCUACGGAUGAAAGCAGGGGAUCGCAAGACCUUGUGCUACUAGAGCGGCCGAUGGCAGAUUAGGUAGUUGGUGGGAUAAAAGCUUACCAAGCCGACGAUCUGUGGCUGGUCUGAGAGGACGAUCAGCCACACUGGGACUGAGAAACGGCCCAGACUCCUACGGGAGGCAGCAGUGGGGAAUUUUGGACAAUGGGCGAAAGCCUGAUCCAGCAAUGCCGCGUGCAGGAUGAAGGCCUUCGGGUUGUAAACUGCUUUUGUACGGAACGAAAAGCCCUGGGUUAAUACCCUGGGGUCAUGACGGUACCGUAAGAAUAAGCACCGGCUAACUACGUGCCAGCCGCCGCCGUAA